GAUGAAGAACGUAGCGAAAUGCGAUAAGUAAUGUGAAUUGCAGAAUUCAGUGAAUCAUCGAAUCUUUGAACGCAUCUUGCGCUCCUUGGUAUUCCGAGGAGCAUGCCUGUUUGAGUGUCAUUUAACUUCUCAACCACAUUGGAUAUUUUUUUUCCGAUGCCGGCUUGGAUGUGGGGGUUGUUUGCAGGCUUUUUGUAACAAAAAAGGUCGGCUCCCCUGAAAUGUAUUAGUGGUAUCUGAGGCUAUUACUAUUAGGUGUGAUAAUUAUCUAUGCCUUUUGGGUAUGCCGCAUGAACAGAUUAUGCUGCUUCUAACGAAAACUAUUUUGAUGAAUUUGACCUCAAAUCAGGUAGGACUACCCGCUGAACUUAAGCAUAUCAAUAAGCGGAGG
rnacentral:misc_RNA from 1 species